rnacentral:tRNA from 1 species
UCCCCUGUAGCUCAAUUGGCAGAGCAUCCGGCUGUUAACCGGAAGGUUCGAGGUUCGAGUCCUCGCGGGGGAG